UCGUUUCUUUUCGUCUCGAUCGGAGCCGCGGUCUAACCUAAAUCCAGUCAAAAUUUCAGUUACCUUAAAGAGCCGCGAACCGGGGACAGAAGGCCCCUCGCGAGAACAAAGCCGGACUCGGUCGGUAAUGCGCGUGGGUGUGCUCCGAAUAGUCGAAGGUGGCGCACCUGCGCGAUUGGCGCCUGCGCGGGCGGACAAAGCUCCAACCUCGCGACAAGGACGGAGCGAGUGCGGGCUCAACUCGCCGAACUCGCGCAGCAGCACGCGAGUCCAGUCCGAGCAUAGUGGCGGCGCAGUACGGCAGAGAGUCGCUGGCUCGCGUGAGAGAAAGAGAGAGAGAGAGAGAGAGAGAGAGAGGCAGGCCAGGCGAGUUAGCUGUAGGCAUCCUCAGCCGUCAGCGACGCAGAGAGCAGCAGCAGCUCUCCUCUCGCUCCGCGGUCGUCCCGUCCCCCUCCCUGCGCGAGCGCCGCAGCAGCAGAGCCGUGAGAGCCGAGAAGGCAGCGAGUGCGCGCGAGGAGCGAUCGCCAUUUUACGUGUUGUUUGGGCUCUGGUCGUGUCGAGUGCGCGCGCGACGACGUGCGUAGGAGAGCGAGCGAGCGAGUGAGCGAGUGAGCGAGAGAGAGAGAGAGAGAGAGAGAGAGAAGAAGUAGCAGUAGAGAGCAGAGAGCAGCAGAGAGGCCCCUCGUCGACGAAGAGGAUCGCGAGGAAGCCCAGCAGCGAGGAUAGAAGCGGCGGAGCAGCUCGGGGGGAAGAUGCUGCUCGAGUGCUCCGCACCCGACAGCUGCGCCUACAAGUAAUAGUCCCGCGAAGGUGUUUUGCAGUCGUAGCCGAGGGUCUCCUCCUCGCUCCGUGCCAGUGUGUGCGCGUAUACAGUGCGUCCGUGGCAGCAGAAGCAGCAGCGCAGCGAGACUGCUGACCUCACCCUUCGAGCGCAAAGAGCGAGAAAAGAGAGAACAGCGAGGAUACGGGCGCUAUGCAGCAGCUACGGCAAACGCUGCGGCCCCUCGGCCGAGCCCUCCUCUGAGCCUCGCUCGCGCUCUCUCUCUUUUUCUCUUCUUCGGAGCCUCGCAGCUCCGUAUUCAUCUCUCUCUCUCCUCUCUCACUGUCCGUCUGUUUGUGCUGCUGCUGCUGCUGCUGUGAAUCCGUGAAUCGGAACAGCACGGCCUCCCCUGUGUGUGUCCGCGCACCAGAGUGAGAGAGAGAGAGAGAGCGCCGCAGCAGCUCCGAAAUUCUUCGACGAGGGAUCGCGACUGGUGCGCGAGUGCCGCGAGGACUAGAUAAGCACGGCGACGACGACGACGACGACGACGACAACAGAAGAGCAGGUCUCUGCGUUUGAGACGGAGUGUGGUGCGCGGAGCACGGAGUACAGUGCGCUCUCUCUCGGUUCUCGGUCCGCGAGAGGAAGGAACCCGAAGAGGAGAGAGAGAGCGAGCGAGGAAGUGCUGCUCUCCCGCCCCGACACGAUGAGUUCGCGCAACAUCCCCUCGGACAAGAUAAACCUGCGCCUCAUCCUCGUCAGCGGUAAGACAAAAGAGUUCCUAUUCAGUCCGAGCGACUCCGCGGGGGACAUCGCCCAUCAUGUCUUCGAAAACUGGCCAGAAGAUUGGGCGGAAGAGGCGGUGGCCAAGGCGGAAAUCCUACGGCUGAUAUACCAGGGCCGCUUUCUGCACAGCAACGUGACGCUCGGCGCUCUGGGCCUGCCGUUCGGCAAGACAACGGUCAUGCAUCUCGUGCCCCGGGAAAACCUGCCCGAGCCCAACUCUCAAGGCAUCCUACCGAACGGCGACUACAUGCACGUCCUGCCCGACGACACUGACUGAGAGAUAGAGAGACUCUGCGGCGGCGGCGGCAGCAUCCGAAAUUCGACGUGAACUUAACUCCGAGUGUACAGCUCGCGCGAUUAAUAAAUAUACCUCUCUUGAGGAGCCGCGCAAACAUUGUUCGAGAGAGGGUGAAAAGCCGCACUAUACUGCACUGUGCUGCACAAUAUUCCUCUCCGCGCCGAGCACUUCCAUUACGAACUCUAAGCGCGCAAUUAAGUCGCGCAACCCGUAAUGAGUAUAUUUAGCUCUCGCGCUACCUACAGUCUCAAGGUAAUUGCUCAAUUAACCGCGCGACUGGCGCGCACGUGACUCCGACUGUUAUCCGAAAAAACAGCACCACCACCACCACCAGUCCUCCUUCCCGCGAGCGCAUCGUUAAAAAAUCAGAGGCAAAAGAGCAAAGGCGGAGGAAGCAGUUGCUGCUCGGCGUCCUGCUGCAUCCUGUAAGCAGCAGCCGGCCAGCCGACGAAGAUGAUUCCCCACCGGCGCUCGUCAGCCCCACGACGACUACGACGACGACGGCGACGGCGAAGAAGAAGAAAAGAGGACGCUGCAGCGUUGCGACCAUCCUCGCGAUGGACAACAACAACAACAACAACAACAACACACCUACACGCAUACACCCUAUAACUCUUUCUUUCUUUUGUUGUCGCAUCGUGUAUCGUAUUGCGCGUCUCUAUACUCGCGAGGAGAAGGACAUGGAGCAGCGGACGGAGAGAAAGACACACACACACACACAAGCACCGACAUCACGCGAGUACUGUAGACGCGUGUCAAUGUACUUACGCGACACGACGCUAUGUUCAGCCAGGAAGCUCGACUCGUUACGAUGUACUUGAUGUACGUGUACGCGGGAGGGGCGUCGGGGCGCGGAGAGCUGCUGCGUCCUUCCGACGAUAAACGUCCACCCUCUGCGCUCGUCGACGCUUCUCCCCCGCGUUCGAAUUUGAAUCGUGCGACGACGAUGACGACACACACUCGCUAGGCUCUUGUUUGUUACACGUAUCUCCAUGUGCAUAUCCUCCCUGCCUCGUCUCUAUUGCCCCCCGAUCCUCCUCCUCCUCCUCCUCCCGAGAUAUCUAAGUUUAACGAUUGUAGCGUGUACAUAUAAAUGAAGACAGAAAAAAAGUAUAUAUUGAUAAACGCGGAGGAGACGAUGAAACUUACACACGGUAUAUGACAUUUCUCUGUAUAAUCUCUCGCUUUUACUCAGUCAACGUUAAACGAAUAAAGAAAAAACCGAGCUGCUGCUGUUGCACGUGGCUGCUCUCUUUUCUGUCUCCGAUCCGUGCAUUGUUUGUGUAUAUCGUUUCUCGAUGUGACGGAGGCAGCGGCGUCAUCUCUUUGUAUAAAUUCGCGAGCUGCGGAGCCAUGCUCUCGUUGUUGUUUUUACUCUGUUCUCUGUACUUUCUUUCGACGCGCCGUACAAGUGUGACCGCCGACGGCGGAUUGAUUCCGCCUCUUCCGGCGACGGCGCGUGUCCACAGCACCUUUGUCUCCCUCUCUCGGUUCUACAACCGCUGCGCUGUUGCAAUGAAAUUGGGCGCUUUCUCUUUCUCUCUCUCGCGAUGUUUUUGCGCGGCUCGAAUCGCACGCUGCAUCGCCUCCCGUAUCUCUCGCGCUGUCCACGGUACACGCGGCGAUCCUCGUGCGGGAGAUAGCGCAACGUGCCACUCGAGUCACGUACGAGCUCGCAAUUAUACCAGUGCAACCACGCAUACAAUAAUGCAGGCGCGGAAGAGAGAGAGAAAGAGAGUAUCAUCGUCGCGUUUAAAUUUUGAUACCACUAACGAUCGCGAGCCAAAUUCAGCUUCGGCCCGGCACGUCGGCGAGCGUACAUUACGUGUACCAAGUAUCGAGCGCGCCCGCGCGCCGGGUCGAAUCGCUUUCCGUAAUGCGGAAUGGCCUACAUUCAGCGUGUCAAAUAUACAAUGCGAGAUAGGCUAGGAGGAAAAGAAGAAACAAGAAACAAAAUAAAUCGAAAACGUGAAACGGCGCGGCGUCUCCGCGCUUAACUAUUGUGUGCUAGCGACGAUAAUAGAUAUGUGUGUGUGUCUGCGUAUACACGGCAUUCUAAGCGUAAUUCAUUUUACCUACUUAAGCGAUGCGUCGAUGGCGACGACGACGACGACGACGACGAUGAUGAUGAAGAGGUGUCAAAGGACGUAUAACUGCCGAGGACGGAGAAUCAUGUUAUGUAGAAAAAUUUUAAUGACUAAUUCGCGAGUAUACUGGCGAUCGAGAUGAAAAGGGCGACGACGCCCACGUGCAGCGCGCAGGCAGCCGAUCACCGUAUAUGAAAUGAAAUGAAAAAGAAAAAAUUACGAUAUAAACAGGACUGCUGCUCGUCCUUCUUCUCUCCUCUUUGACCCUGGUAAAAAUGCCCCUUUGUGAACAUUUGGAAAGGCGAAGCUCCGCGUCGCGAGAAAAGGGUGCACGCGCCAUUGUUUAUUCCCUCCUAUUCGUCGGCCCGUUCGCGGGACGAUAAAAAAAAAUUUAAGAAAAUUUAAAAUCACCUCUUUCACUCUCUCGCUCUCAUCGAGACAUUUUUCACCAGGGCUGCUUUUUAUCAUAGUGAAAUAAAGGAAAAAGAUUACCGCGGAGAAGGCGAAGAGGAAGAUAUCAUCGUUAUUAAGUUUAACAAAAGAUUGAUUAAAAAAAAUGAAUUAAAAAAAAAGAUAAUGAAAUAAAUAAGACGAAAGGCUCGAGCUGCCUUUUGAAACUCGACACCUAUACACCAUACAUUAUUAUAUAUAUAUAUAUUUUAUUGCUAGUGGAUAUCACAUAAGUACGGCAAUGUAAUAUUCAUCUGUACAUAGGACAAUUAAUAUGAAUUCAACUGACUAGUAAAUGUUUUAGAGAGAGAAAGGUCGGCAAAUAGAAAAAAAUUUACCGAUGACGGAAAGGAUUGUCAUGGAAAUAACAAUGAACUGGGUAUGUUUGUUAUUAUUUUCACAUAUAAUUGUUAUGCGAUUGUGAAACCAGAUUAAAAAAAAAAAUAAUAAAAUAAAAAAGAUGAUGAAGGUGACGAAGAUGAUAAUGAUGAAAAAAUAAGCAAAUUUAAAAAAAAAAUGAGCGAAGGAUAACGGCACUCGUCUCGUCGCGGACGGAUACGAGAAUGAAACCAAAAGGCGAAAAAAAAAUAACAAAUUAUAAAAGGCAAAUUGUAUUUACUACUGUAUAAGGCUCGGCGCAAAAUUUAACGGAUUUCCACAUUUUAAUCUUGUAUAAUCUCUCGUUGUUGAUUCGCUUUUCCUCCUCGCUACUAUACUACAACCUUGUAUGCGGCCCCCUUUUGUCCCUCCUCCUUCCCCCCAGUACACAGCUCCAAAGGACUCUCCUUUUUCCGAAUCUUGGAUGAAUUCGCGCGAACCGGCCAUUGUCCGUAUUUACAUAUUAUGAACUUCUUUCGACUAAUCAAAGUGUGAAGCACGACGACGAUGUGUACGGAACAACUCGCGUCCACUCGUGUCCACUGCCGACGAGAUGCUGAGUCGAUUUUUUGCAGAUUUAUUAUACCUAUAUUAGGCUUACGUUACACACCUCAUUUGUAAAUAUUAGAACGUAUUUUUGUCGUCUAUGUAAAAUCAACGAGGAUUUUAACUAAUGGCUUAGUUCUUAGCGUAACGAAAUAAAGUUGAGAACAUAAUGGGAAAAAAAUUGAAAAAAAAAACAAUA